GGAUUAGAUACCCUGGUAGUCCACGCCGUAAACGAUGGAUACUAGCUGUUCGAUUUUCGGAUUGAGUGGCUAAGCGAAAGUGAUAAGUAUCCCACCUGGGGAGUACGUUCGCAAGAAUGAAACUCAAAGGAAUUGACGGGGGCCCGCACAAGCGGUGGAGCAUGUGGUUUAAUUCGAUGAUACGCGAGGAACCUUACCAGGGCUUAAAUGUAGUGGGACAGGUCUAGAAAUAGACCCUUCUUCGGACUCAUUACAAGGUGCUGCAUGGUUGUCGUCAGCUCGUGCCG
rnacentral:rRNA from 1 species